rnacentral:rRNA from 1 species
GACGAACGCUGGCGGCGUGCCUAAUACAUGCAAGUCGAGCGAUGCGGGGACGGGUGAGUAACACGUGGACAACCUCCUUUAAGUCCGGGUUAACUUCGGGAAACCGGUGCUAAACCUGAUAUUCAUAUAUGGAUCCUCGCUGCAGUAGCUAGUGGGUAAGGUAAUGGCUUACCAAGGCAACGAUGCAUAGCCGACCUGAGAGGGUGAUCGGCCACACUGGAACUGAGACACGGUCCAGACUCCUACGGGAGGCAGCAGUAGGGAAUCUUCCGCAAUGGGCGAAAGCCUGACGGAGCAACGCCGCGUGAGUGAAGAAGGUCUUCGGAUCGUAAAACUCUGUUAUUAGAGAAGCGGUACCUAAUCAGAAAGCCACGGCUAACUACGUGCCAGCAGCCGCGGUAAUUC